rnacentral:rRNA from 1 species
UUAUCCGGAAUGAUUGGGCGUAAAGGGUGCGUAGGUGGCAGAACAAGUCUGGAGUAAAAGGUAUGGGCUCAACCCGUACUGGCUCUGGAAACUGUUCAGCUAGAGAACAGAAGAGGACGGCGGAACUCCAUGUGUAGCGGUAAAAUGCGUAGAUAUAUGGAAGAACACCGGUGGCGGAGGCGGCCGUCUGGUCUGUUGCUGACACUGAAGCACGAAAGCGUGGGGAGCAAAUAGGAUUAGAUACCCUAGUAGUCCACGCCGUAAACGAUGAGAACUAGGUGUUGGGGGAAUAACUCAGUGCCGCAGUUAACGCAAUAAGUUCUCCGCCUGGGGAGUAUGCACGCAAGUGUGAAACUCAAAGGAAUUGACGGGGGCCCGCACAAGCGGUGGAGUAUGUGGUUUAA